GAAGUAUUUCGGUAUGUAAAGCUCUAUCAGCAGGGAAGAUAAUGACGGUACCUGACUAAGAAGCCCCGGCUAACUACGUGCCAGCAGCCGCGGUAAUACGUAGGGGGCAAGCGUUAUCCGGAUUUACUGGGUGUAAAGGGAGCGUAGACGGCAAGGCAAGUCUGAUGUGAAAACCCAGGGCUUAACCCUGGGACUGCAUUGGAAACUGUCUGGCUCGAGUGCCGGAGAGGUAAGCGGAAUUCCUAGUGUAGCGGUGAAAUGCGUAGAUAUUAGGAAGAACACCAGUGGCGAAGGCGGCUUACUGGACGGUAACUGACGUUGAGGCUCGAAAGCGUGGGGAGCAAACAGGAUUAGAUACCCUGGUAGUCCACGCCGUAAAC
rnacentral:rRNA from 1 species